ACCCAAGAAGAUUCACUACUGCUCGGAAAUAUGUGCCUUAUUAGUUCUUCCUUUUAAAAUUUCAGUCCAGUUGAAAUCCGUCACAAGCCAUCCAACAAAAGUAGCUCGAGCAAUCAACUGUAGAGUAAAAUUGCUCUUUUCUCCGUCGCCGAACACUCCUCUUCCUCUCUGAGUGGCUAUUAGUAAAAAAAAAUAGAAGAGGAAGAUGGAGAGAGACUCGUUUACAAUGAAAGCCUAAAAUAGUUUGUAUUUUCGAAAUUACUCUUCGCUGUCCCAUAGGCUUACACUUAUUAUACAAAAGAUAACCAGAUCACCGUAUCGAGGAAAUAAACUCUAACUUGGCAUAUUAUCUUUCCCAAGAACCAAGGAUUUAAGACCUCUCCCUCGUCCUCGUCCCCGUCCUUUUCCUAUAGAACAUAGCGCAAGGAAAUGAUAUCUGGUAGUAGCCUUCAUAGUUGAUCCAACUCGAUAUUCAAAUUUUAUGGUUUCAUAUUAAACCUAAAAAGAGCCAAAGGCAAAGAAUAAUAGAAAAUGAAAAACAACGUGGUAAUAAAAAAACAAGUUCUAGAUUAGUGAUGAUAAUGGAAAAAAUAGAAUGAGUAAAAGAGAGAGAUAAAAAUAAACAAAGAAGUCACAAUUCUACGACUAUAUCCUGAUUUUAUGUUAUUUUCAAUUUUGCAGUCUCUUGGAAUAAAUUUCAACA